UACGAAGGGGGCUAGCGUUGCUCGGAAUCACUGGGCGUAAAGGGUGCGUAGGCGGGUCUUUUAAGUCAGGGGUGAAAUCCUGGAGCUCAACUCCAGAACUGCCUUUGAUACUGAAGAUCUUGAGUUCGGGAGAGGUGAGUGGAACUGCGAGUGUAGAGGUGAAAAUCGUAGAUAUUCGCAAGAACACCAAGUGGCGAAGGCGGCUCACUGGCCCGGAUACGUGACGCUGAGGAGAAGCGACUGGGGAGGCAAACAGGGAUUAAGAAUCAUCCUAG
rnacentral:rRNA from 1 species